rnacentral:misc_RNA from 1 species
UCUCCGUUGGUGAACCAGCGGAGGGAUCAUUACAGGACUCGCAAGACUCCUACAACCCUGUGAACUUAACUAUAAGCACGUUGCUUCGGCGGGUGUCUCGGAGGGGGUUCUCCCUCCCCGAGACGCUAAACCCGCCGGCAGCCUACUAUACUCUGUCUCUUUGCGUUGGCAUCUCGAGUACAAUCAAACAAGUUAAAACUUUCAACAACGGAACUCUUGGUUCUG